UGCUCAGGGCCUCUCCGCCGCCCGGACUGAAAGCCGGGAGGCAUGCAAAUUACCCUUGCCCCACAAUGUAGCUGGCCAAUAAGCUGCGGCGCUCUUGGAGCCUGCACCGCCCGCAAGCGCAUCUAGGUAUCGUGGAUGUCUCCCGCUCCGGCCGCAUUCCCCGUCUCCAAGUCGGCUUCCACUGCCAACCUCGAGUUUGAUGGCAACAGUUGUAUGGGUGUUUUGUUGGUGGGAGAAAGAUAGAUUGAGCAUGCACAACUCAUCGGAAGGUGCCAACCACAGCCAUGCUCUUGGCGCUCUCCGCCAUGUGCCCUCCUGCUUUCAACCCCGCCCCCACCUAGUUGAUGACCCAAGGUCGUCUGAAGCUUGUGGUUGCCAUCCAUCUGGUGGUGACCCGGCACCCUCCUCCUCACGAAGACUUUCACAAUGAUCGGGCUCCUUCCUCGCCAACAACAAGGCCACGAGAAUGGUCCUGUAAGAAAUCAUUAAAACUGAUUCGUGAUACCAGUACCCAGACAUUUGGAAGUAACAAAGCAAGAUGGUUCAAUUACCCGAGCCACAUGGAAAUUGAACUUAUCAUGUCAACAAAAUUAUGGUGGAUGGGAGGCUAUCUUUGUGCAUCAAGAUGGAGAAGCUUUUUUAAGCGUUGGGGAGGACUUGACAAUAUUCACGGUGCACUCCAGGUUGAGGCGAUGACACAAGGAAGGAGAUUAGCAUCGGAAUUAACAUGGUAUGGGUCUUUGUUCGUGAAGCAUACUUUGGAGGCAUAAAUCUUUGACCUAUCUCCUCGCUCGUGUUGAUGGAAAACAUCAAGGGAUGACCAGGGACCAUUU